rnacentral:miRNA from 1 species
AUCUAUUAGGUUGGUGCAAAAGUAAUUGUGGCUUUGCUAUUAGUUUCAGCGGCAAAAACCUCAAUUAGUUUUGCACCAAUUUA